GACGAACGCUGGCGGCGUGCUUAACACAUGCAAGUCGAACGGAAAGGCCCUGCUUUUGUGGGGUGCUCGAGUGGCGAACGGGUGAGUAACACGUGAGUAACCUGUCCCUGACUUUGGGAUAACUUCAGGAAACUGGGGCUAAUACCGGAUAGGAGCUCCUGCUGCAUGGUGGGGGUUGGAAAGUUUCGGCGGUUGGGGAUGGACUCGCGGCUUAUCAGCUUGUUGGUGGGGUAGUGUCUUACCAAGGCUUUGACGGGUAGCCGGCCUGGUAGGGUGACCUGCCACAUUGGGACGGGGAUACGACCCAGACUCCUACGGGAGGCAACAGUGGGGAAGAUUGCACAAUGGGCGGAAGCCUGAUGCAGCAACGCAGCGUGCGGGAUGACGGCCUUCGGGUUGUAAACCGCUUUCGCCUGUGACGAAGCGUGAGUGACGGUAAUGGGUAAAGAAGCACCGGCUAACUACGUG
rnacentral:rRNA from 1 species